AAAAUAGAUACCCCAGGUAGUCCACGCCGUAAACGAUGAGUGCUAAGUGUUAGGGGGGUUUUCCGCCCCCUUAGUGCUGCAGCUAACGCAUUAAGCACUCCGCCUGGGGGAGUACGGUCGCAAGACUGAAACUCAAAGGAAUUGACGGGGGGCCCCGGCACAAGCGGUGGAGCAUGUGGUUUAAUUCGAAGCAACGCGAAGAACCUUACCAGGUCUUGACAUCCCACUGACCGCUAUGGAGACAUAGUUUUCCCUUCGGGGACAGCGGUGACAGGUGGUGCAUGGUUGUCGUCAGCUCGUGUCGUGAGAUGUUGGGUUAAGUCCCGCAACGAGCGCAACCCUUGUCCUUAGUUGCCAUCAUUCAGUUGGGCACUCUAAGGAGACUGCCGGCUAAAAGUCGGAGGAAGGUGGGGAUGACGUCAAAUCAUCAUGCCCCUUAUGACCCUGGGCUACACACGUGCUACAAUGGACCGGUACAAACGGGUUGCGAAGUCGCGAGACGGAGCUAAAUCCGAAAAAACCCGUUCUCAGUUCGGAUUGCAGG
rnacentral:rRNA from 1 species